AACCAAAUAUUUAAUAUAAGAUAAUAAAAUAUAACACAUAUAAUAUUCCUAUCAAGAGAUAAAGAUAAAUUUAUAAAAAUAUACGCACUCAUAGAUUUAGUAGACCGCGAACUUUGCUUCAUAUAUUCCAUUGAAAGCGUAUGCUAUACAGCCGACAUGUGGGCGAAUCAAUGUAACACACUCGGUAAGGUCUGAACACUAUUAUGCGUAUUGAACUUGGGACAGUGCUAUUAAGAAUUGUAAGCUUUUGCGUGGGCGGCAAAUCUUCCCGGUCAUUCGGCAUUGAAAUUAUUAUAUACAAUUGGGAAAAAUAUGUAAGUACCAAUUAAUCAAGUGGACCUAAAUAUUUGGAGUGAUUGUAAGAGUGACUUCCAAGCAAAUUUUCAUACUUUUUGAGGUUUUCAUUCAUGUGGAAAGUGGUGGCAGACGACCGGCGGCGAUUACAAAAAAAAUGUAAAUACUGCCCUCUAUAGCCAACUCUCUUUGAUGACGACAAAUUACUAUGUUGACACGGAAGUGCAGACUUGCGUAGACAGAACAGACUAGCGAGAUCUUGCUUAGCGAGAGAGGCUUGUUGUAUUUGCAGCCGAAAACAUUGCUUAAAAUCAUUUAAUUUAUGGAUUAUAUCGAGUUGGAUUUACGAUUGAGAAAAAUGUUGCUACUCAAGUACUGCGGACGUUUCGAUAAUGUAGGAGGCCUGGUCUGUGGAGCAAUUGGCAAGAUGACAUUAACCAAAGAGGACUUUUUGAAAAAAAAAACAGUAUUGGGAAAUUUUACAUUUCCUCUGAAAUUUCUGUACAAGAAAUUCUGUGUAAAUUGAAAAGCAGACACACAGCUCGUGGAAUUUUAAGUUAAAUUUGAAGUGCAUUGGUUGCUCUUACGAUGUUCCGCAGUUCGAUACAAAGGCUGACGAAUUACGAUCAUCAGUGGACCUACCCCAACGCUGUAGGCGGGAAACCGUCGAUAAUUUAGCCAAUGGUAAUAUGAUAAAAGUAGACUUGUUUGAUAUACACCAUAAUAUAGUUUGAGGUCUUUAUUUGUUAACAGGAGUUUGUUUUUGCUGGAUGCGUUCACCACUCGACCACGUCAGGAGUAUGUUGUGAUAUAACCCUUACUAUAUUGUGUCUCGUGACGAUUUUUUGCAUACGUCACAACGUCAUGGCCCGUGAUGUUUAGUCCUCGCGUUCUCCCUUCCAUCCCAUCAGAAGCAUCCGGAUAACGUCAGCGCAGUUUCUGCAACAUAACGCAUUCAUAAUGGUGACUUGCUAUCCGAUCCAUGCAAUGAUUUUGUGAAUUAGCAGAGUGAGCCCAAGAGAUGCUCGAUUUGUCGAGCAGCACGGAGUGGUACGACUCGACUGGUUGUGGUACAGCUAAGGCUGAUCAGCUGUAAAUGUGUUGCAUCGUUAAGCACCUUUUUGACGAAGGAAGAGCUCAUACCGAAGGACAGUUUCCAUUAUAUCUGUAAAAAAAAAAACAAAUCGAAAAAAUACAUUUGAAAUUCAAUUUUGUUAUGUAGGCCUAUUAAAAUGACGGUAAAUAAAAUUGUUCCUGUACUUUUAUAGGGGUAAGUAAACACGAAUAGGCCUACUAAUGCCUGUACAUUAGAUACAAUACUAAUUAUUAAGCCAAAUAAAAUACAGUAAUAUGUAUUUUUUGUCAUUUUGCAAAACAUAGAAUACUGUAUGUAUGAAUCUGAUAUCAUCGUAAUAGUGACGUGCGCGUUUGAACUACGGUAUGCCUUCAUACCGCCAUAACUUUGUGUGGUCCUGUUUACUGUUGUAUGUGUAUUUAUGAAGAAGGAAAUAAGCCUAUCAUUUCUCAACCCAUACGAGAAACGUAAUUUUUUGGAAUCGGCCGAGUCCAAUGGGGGAAUAAUUUGUAAAAUUCGCUCUGGAUAGAGUUUUGGGGUGAACAUAAUAAAUAGGCCUACUUAUUUUUCUUUUACAAUGACAUGUCGAUUUGGUUUUCCGCAAUUCGCACGCAAGACAGAAAAAGAAAAAAUUCAUGUUUUGUGCAUGUACGAUAUUACGGUAAACUCGGGGUUAUUUUUUGGUUAUUGAGAGAUGAUCAGAUGUUAGUAAAAAUAACGGUACAAAUGUGUAGCUGUCACCAUGGUUUUUAGUAACUAUUGUUCUUAAGGUCUUAGACAUGUUUUCAAGAUGUACUGUACAUUUUUGUGUCUGUGCUUUGAUAGGGGGCCUAUUGAAUAACUUAUUAUUAUUUUUUUAUCUGGCUGAUUCUUUGUUCAGAAUAUUUUGUAUAAUAUUAUAAGUAUAUUUCUGUAACGUUUGUGUGUGUUUUUGUUUUUUUUUUCUUUUUUUUAUUGAAUAAAAAUAUUGAUAAUGACAGUACACCAAGCAAUUAUUUAAAGUGUAUCCACGAGUCAUUUAAACGCAUAUUUGAAUAGUAUUAAGGGAUUAUUACACCGGUGUAAUUUUUUUGUCAGGCACUCAACCGCUUAUAGCAAUGCUUGGUACGAUUAUAAAAUCAUGUUAUUCUUUCGAUUAACGGUUAUAGGUGUAGGCCUAUAAAUUGAAAAUGAAAUUGAAUACGGUAUCAGUAUAUACAUAAAAUUGAAUCACAACAAUGCUCAAAUAGAACCAUGUGAUGUUUUAAUGGUGUCAAGCAUAGCCCUUCGACGAAGAGUUACUUUUAAGUUGUAUGAAGAAAAAGGUCUCUGGUGGGAUUCGAACCUGUAGUUUGUCUCUAUCUAGGCGAGUGUCAUACCGCUAGACCAACGAGACCUAUUUUUGUUUAAACCAUGUUUAUACUGUAAAGGGUAACCCUUCCAGCGUAUCCAUGGAAGGUCGGCUGAUAUUCAGGGGCCCUCUUAAACAAAUGAAAUCGUGAUUCUUUUAUCAGCCAAGUCCCUUUAUGAGGCUUAGGGAGUGGAGUUGUUUUCGGUCGUGAGAAAAAGUCUGCUGUCACGUGAAUUGAACCCAGGACCCUGGGAUUAGAAGACAAUUAUCUUAA